rnacentral:lncRNA from 1 species
UCAAAUAUCUUCUAUAACCUACAUUAAACCUCAAUUUCUUAUCCAACAUGACGCUACCUCCUUUAUUGGUUCUUUUUCUUCCAAUGGUGAUUUUUCUAGCACUCACCUCAAGAUUAAAUUAAUUAAUUCAUGUCUAAUAUUUAAUUACAUACACUAUAUUCCACUAAUGAGUGAUCUUUAUAAUUCCAGUCCACUCCCCUCCUCCAUUAAUCCCGCUUCUCAUUAAUGAGUGGGCUUUGUAACUCCUCCAUUAAUGAAUGGGCUUUGUAACACCAAUCAACUCCCCUCCUCCAUUCAUUAAUCCCCCGUCCUCUCUCUUUUGCAUGGUCUGUUAUUUUUCAUGUAACAUUAUCAUCUAAUCUCUCACUACCACGUUCAUCUCUCUCUCUCAUUGCAUUAAUGAAAAUAAUGAGGACGAUGAAGAAGAAAAAGAAAAAGAAGAAGAAGAAAAGUAUGCAAAGAACGUUGCCUCCUUCGAGAAGCAUCGCCUUGCGAAGUCGAGCUGCAGACUAUAUAAGUGUCUGCUAGGCUAUUCGCGCCGGGGCCCCUACUAGCCGUGAACCAUCGCCCUCUCGGCUGCCUCCUCGCGAGGCUCGCGUGCGCCCACAAUUGGGCCGAGGUGAGCGGCGUCCUGAGCCUCCUCUUCGAAAGCGUUUCUCGAUAAUCGCAUGAACUUCUUAGUAAAUUCAAAUUGUUUGAAAAUUAGAGUUUCUGUGGUUGAUGUGAUAGCAAAGCUAUGCCAAUUUAGAUAUCGCAGUUUGGUGAUGCAGAUGAAGUGUUUGUUCAUAGGUCGCAAUGGAAAUUCAAAAGCGACUCAGCACGGGAAGUAACUAGCAGUUGAAAAUUAAGAAGAUGUAUUAGGUUUGAAUGAGCAAACUCGCGUGGAUGAAGAAGUGCUCCAAAAAAUUAUUAGUAUUUUUUAAUUUAUGUUUUUGUGUUAUAUUCAUUCCAUAACCACUUUUUUGAGUAGGCACUGUUGUAGGUAAAAUCCCUUUCGUAAACUAAAAGGUAUGAUGUGGAGAUUGGAGCGUGAGAUCUCACCUAAAUUUUCUCGAGUCAGAUACGUUAACUUAUUAUAUAUGUGUUUCAUAUUCUCAAUCUGUUUUAAUACUUUGACAAAGAUGCUUGAUUCAACUAAAGCUAAUUCUUUUUUAUCUUUUACAAUGGAUUGUUCAAAAGGCACAUAAUAUGAUAAAAUCGUAUGUUUUUUUACUAUAUCUCGAUAAUUUUUAAAAAAUUAUAUAAGCUUCUAGCUGUAAUUUUAUUUUUUAAAAAAUAAAAUAUAGUCAUGCAAAUUGGUUGUGCUUAUCAUGAUAUAACUUUUUAUACAUCAAUUAGUUGUAAAUAUAAAUUUUAUUAAAAUUUUUAAAUUUUAUUUUAAUUAUCUAUUCGCUGCAUCGUGUGGAUUUCUACAUUAGUUAUUAUUCUUAGUGUGUGUGUGAUUAAUCAAACC